rnacentral:rRNA from 1 species
AGCCUGCGAGUCAUUGUACAAUACAGGCGGACGGCUCAGUAACACGUAGUUAAAAAACUUGUGGACGUGGAUAACCUCGGGAAACUGAGAAUAUUCUUAAGGAUAGAUCAUAGUGCCUGGAAUGGCUUAUGGUCCAAACAGUUUACUGCCAUAGGAUGGGACUGCGCCUCUCUCAGCUUGUUGGUGAGGUAAUGGCCCACCAAGGCGAUUACAGGUACGGGCUCUGAGAGGAGAAGCCCGGAGAUGGGUACUGAGACACGGACCCAGGCCCUAUGGGGCGCAGCAGGCGAGAAACCUUAGCAAUGUGCGAAAGCACGACUGGGUCAGUCCGAGGGAUUCCUGAUAAAGGAGUCUUUUGCUUGUCCUAAAAGCACAGGUGAAUAGGGGUGGGCAAGUUUGGUGUCAUCCGCCGCGGUAUACCACACCUCUAGUGGUCAGGACGUUAUGGGCCUAAGCUCCGUAGCCGCUCGCAAUCUUCGUUAAUCCUCGCUCACGAGGGCCGCUG